rnacentral:lncRNA from 1 species
CUUCAGGUUUCAUUAAACUCGUACAAUUUUUCCACAGGGCACAAAAGAAACAAAAACUCCAACAACAGCUGGGAAAAAAAUGGAGGCUGUGGCUUUCAGUUUCAGUUAACGUCACGGCUGGUUCGGGCCCUCAAGUGCUUAACUCGUUUUAACCUCGUUUUCGCUGAUGUUCAAUGCGGCUGCUGCUGUUGUUCCUGCUGGUGCUUAAGCCUUCUUGGAAUUUUGUUUUAAUGCUGAAUGCAUCAUUUGCUUCUUUCUUUUACUUUAUUUUUUGGUCAGAAAUAAAGCCGCCAACAGUCCAGCAUUCAAUUAUAAAGGAAGCCAAAGAAUAAACUUGAAAAAAAGGAAACGAAAGCAAGAAAU